AGAACGAACGCUGGCGGCAGGCUUAACACAUGCAAGUCGAACGCCCCGCAAGGGGAGUGGCAGACGGGUGAGUAACACGUGGGAACGUCCCCCCUCGGUUCGGAAUAACUCAGGGAAACUUGAGCUAAUACCGGAUACGUCCGAGAGGAGAAAGAUUUAUCGCCGAGGGAUCGGCCCGCGUCUGAUUAGCUAGUUGGUAGGGUAACGGCCUACCAAGGCGACGAUCAGUAGCUGGUCUGAGAGGAUGACCAGCCACACUGGGACUGAGACACGGCCCAGACUCCUACGGGAGGCAGCAGUGGGGAAUCUUGGACAAUGGGCGCAAGCCUGAUCCAGCCAUGCCGCGUGAGUGAUGAAGGCCUUAGGGUUGUAAAGCUCUUUCGACGGGACGAUAAUGACGGUACCCGUAGAAGAAGCCCGGCUAACUUCGUGCCAGCAGCCGC
rnacentral:rRNA from 1 species